ACGGGUGAGUAACACGUAUGCAAUCCACCUGUAACAGGGGGAUAACCCGGAGAAAUCCGGACUAAUACCCCAUAAUAUGGGCGCUCCGCAUGGAGAGUCCAUUAAAGAGAGCAAUCUUGGUUACAGACGAGCAUGCGCUCCAUUAGCCAGUUGGCGGGGUAACGGCCCACCAAGGCGACGAUGGAUAGGGGUUCCGAGAGGAAGGUCCCCCACAUUGGAACUGAGACACGGUCCAA
rnacentral:rRNA from 1 species